AGGGAAUCUUCGGCAAUGGACGGAAGUCUGACCGAGCAACGCCGCGUGAGUGAAGAAGGUUUUCGGAUCGUAAAGCUCUGUUGUAAGAGAAGAACGAGUGUGAGAGUGGAAAGUUCACACUGUGACGGUAUCUUACCAGAAAGGGACGGCUAACUACGUGCCAGCAGCCGCGGUAAUACGUAGGUCCCGAGCGUUGUCCGGAUUUAUUGGGCGUAAAGCGAGCGCAGGCGGUUAGAUAAGUCUGAAGUUAAAGGCUGUGGCUUAACCAUAGUACGCUUUGGAAACUGUUUAACUUGAGUGCAAGAGGGGAGAGUGGAAUUCCAUGUGUAGCGGUGAAAUGCGUAGAUAUAUGGAGGAACACCGGUGGCGAAAGCGGCUCUCUGGCUUGUAACUGACGCUGAGGCUCGAAAGUGUGGGGAGCAAACAGAAUUAGAUACCCUGGUAGUCCACGCCGUAAACGAUGAGUGCUAGGUGUUAGACCCUUUCCGGGGUUUAGUGCCGUAGCUAACGCAUUAAGCACUCCGCCUGGGGAGUACGACCGCAAGGUUG
rnacentral:rRNA from 1 species